AUUGAACGCUGGCGGCAUGCUUUACACAUGCAAGUCGAACGGUAACAGGCCGCCAGGUGCUGACGAGUGGCGAACGGGUGAGUAAUGCAUCGGAACGUGCCCAGUCGUGGGGGAUAACUACUCGAAAGAGUAGCUAAUACCGCAUACGAUCUAUGGAUGAAAGCGGGGGACCGUAGGGCCUCGCGCGAUUGGAGCGGCCGAUGUCAGAUUAGGUAGUUGGUGGGGUAAAGGCUCACCAAGCCAACGAUCUGUAGCUGGUCUGAGAGGACGACCAGCCACACUGGGACUGAGACACGGCCCAGACUCCUACGGGAGGCAGCAGUGGGGAAUUUUGGACAAUGGGCGCAAGCCUGAUCCAGCAAUGCCGCGUGCAGGAAGAAGGCCUUCGGGUUGUAAACUGCUUUUGUACGGAACGAAACGGCUCUGGUUAAUACCCGGGGCUAAUGACGGUACCGUAAGAAUAAGCACCGGCUAACUACGUG
rnacentral:rRNA from 1 species